rnacentral:rRNA from 1 species
ACUAUUAUGCAGUUAAACCCACCUGAGUAGUACAGGUUUAUACCCUAAACUCAAAGAAUUUGGCGGCUUUUCACCCCGUUAGAGGAACCUGCCCCGUAAUCGAUGGUCCACGAACUAAUUUACCUGAUUUUAAAGCUUGUAUACCGCCGUUUAGAGUGGGUCAGGAGACUCUCUCCCAAUUAAGUUAUUCAAAAAUUCAGGUCAAGGUGCAGCCCAUAUCCAGGAGGUGGUGGGUUACAUUGUUUUAUAGUCAGACCUUAAUUUUAAUUGUUAAGUAAAGUUGGAUUUAAAAGUAAAGUUUAUCCUUAUUGGCAGGGCUCUGAAAUG